CGGCGAGUGAAGCGGCAACAGCUCAAAUUUGAAAUCUGGCCCUCGUGGUCCGAGUUGUAAUUUGUAGAGGAUGCUUCUGGCGCGGUGCCUUCCGAGUUCCCUGGAACGGGACGCCUUAGAGGGUGAGAGCCCCGUACGGUUGGACACCAAGCCUCUGUGAAGCUCCUUCAACGAGUCGAGUAGUUUGGGAAUGCUGCUCUAAAUGGGAGGUAAAUUUCUUCUAAAGCUAAAUAUUGGCCAGAGACCGAUAGCGCACAAGUAGAGUGAUCGAAAGAUGAAAAGCACUUUGAAAAGAGGGUUAAAUAGCACGUGAAAUUGUUGAAAGGGAAGCGUUUGCGACCAGACCUCUGGCAGGCGGAUCAUCCGGCGUUCUCGCCGGUGCACUUCGCCCGUUAGAGGCCAGCAUCGGUUUCUCCAGGGGGAUAAAAGCGGGGGGAACGUAGCUCCCUCGGGAGUGUUACAGCCCCCUGCAUAAUACCCUUGGGGGGACCGAGGACCGCGCUUCGGCAAGGAUGCUGGCGUAAUGGUCGUCAACGACCCGUCUUGAAACACGGACCAAGGAGUCGAACAGUUUUGCGAGUGUUUGGGUGUCAAACCCUCACGCGUAAUGAAGGUGAACGUAGGUGAGAGCCCUCUCGUGGGGUGCAUCAUCGACCGAUCCUGAUGUCUUCGGAUGGAUUUGAGUAGGAGCACAACUGUUCGGACCCGAAAGAUGGUGAACUAUGCGUGGAUAGGGUGAAGCCAGAGGAAACUCUGGUGGAGGCUCGCAGCGGUUCUGACGUGCAAAUCGAUCGUCAAAUCUGCGCAUGGGGGCGAAAG
rnacentral:rRNA from 1 species